UGUUUCAUCGUUUUGUAUUCUUAAUUCCAAAUCUCAUAUACAAUCGAUAAUAAUAAAACUAUUAAUACAGAAAAUAGUUUCACAAUUGUGCAUUGAAUUUGUUAAUAAAUAACAUAUAUACAUGAUUCAGCUGCCUCUUUCGAUCCAAUAAUUUUUUUGUUCUUUCGUCUUCCAAACACCAAUAUGUAUAUACAGGUAUUGAUAAAAAUAACUGCAGAAUUGUAGAAAUCCUAAAACCUUUAAAACUGCAUCCAUAAAUUCAAACAUCGGCUACUCCAACGAAUUAAUUACGAUGAUGGAACUCUUCCUUAUUAAUCAGAAAAGCUAAUCAUCGGCGAAGGUAAAUGGAAAGACGCAGAGGAACGAAACGGACUUGAAGUGA
rnacentral:lncRNA from 1 species